rnacentral:rRNA from 1 species
UUGUAAACCUCUUUCAGCUCCGAAGAAGCGAAAGUGACGGUAGGAGCAGAAGAAGCACCGGCUAACUACGUGCCAGCAGCCGCGGUAAUACGUAGGGUGCAAGCGUUGUCCGGAAUUAUUGGGCGUAAAGAGCUCGUAGGCGGUGUGUCGCGUCUGCUGUGAAAACUCAGGGCUCAACUCUGAGCUUGCAGUGGGUACGGGCACACUUGAGUGCUGUAGGGGAGACUGGAAUUCCUGGUGUAGCGGUGAAAUGCGCAGAUAUCAGGAGGAACACCGGUGGCGAAGGCGGGUCUCUGGGCAGUUACUGACGCUGAGGAGCGAAAGCAUGGGGAGCGAACAGGAUUAGAUACCCUGGUAGUCCAUGCCGUAAACGUUGGGCGCUAGGUGUGGGGUCCAUUCCACGGAUUCCGUGCCGCAGCUAACGCAUUAAGCGCCCCGCCUGGGGAGUACGGCCGCAAGGCUAAAACUCAAAGGAAUUGACGGGGGCCCGCACAAGCGGCGGAGCAUGCGGAUUAAUUCGAUGCAACGCGAAGAACCUUA